GCCAAAAAUCUAACCCCAAAAUUUCUAAUAACCUUUAUUCUUCUCCUUACUUUUCACUAAAACAUUUUUAAGCUUUAGUAAAGGCGAUUAAAACACCCAUUGGAGUUAUAUUUUAAGUACCGCAAGGGAAUGAUGAAAUAAAAAUGAAAAAAUUAUUAAGCAUAAAAUAGCAGAGAUAUAUCCUCGUACCUUUUGCAUCAUGAUUUAACUAGUCUUAUCAAGCAAAAUGAAUUUAAGUUUGACCCCCCGAAACUAAGCGAGCUACUUCAGGGCAGCUUUAUGAGCCAACCCAUCUCUGUUGCAAAAGAGUGGGAAGACCCUUAAGUAGAGGUGAUAGACCUAACGAGCUUGGUGAUAGCUGGUUACUUAAGAAAAGGAUCUUAGUCCAACCUAAUUUUUAAAAAAUAAUUUCAAAUAUACACUAAAUUUUAGAGCAAUUCAAAUAAGGUACAGCCUAUUUGAAACAGGAUACAACCUUUAUAAAUGGGUAAUUAAAUUUAUUUUUUAAUUAAGUGGGCCUAAAAGCAGCCAUCUUUUAAAAAGCGUCAAAGCUUAAUUAGUUAAUAAUUAAAUCCUUUUAAUUCUUCAAAACCCUUAACCUUUAUUAAGUAAUUCUAUAUACAUAUAGAACCUUUUAUGUUAAAAUUAGUAACAAGAACAAAAACUUCUCAAAAUGUCAAUUUAAAUCAGAUCGGAUUAUCCACUGAUUCUUAACAUUUAGAAUUAAAAGUAAUAACUAAUCAAGAAAAUUUUACUUAAUUUCAUGUUAACCUAACACAAGAACAUUUCCAGAAAGAUUAAAAGAAAAAGAAGGAACUCGGCAAAUAUUAACCUCGCCUGUUUACCAAAAACAUCGCCUUCUGAAAACUUAUAGAAGGUCUGGCCUGCCCAGUGACUCUGUUCAACGGCCGCGGUAUCCUAACCGUGCGAAGGUAGCGUAAUCACUUGUUCUUUAAAUGAGGACUAGUAUGAAUGGCACCACGAAGGUUACACUGUCUCCUUUCUCUAAUCAGUGAAAUUGAUUUUCCCGUGAAGAAGCGGGAAUAAAUUUAUAAGACGAGAAGACCCUAUGGAGCUUUAAACUAUUAACAAUUAUUUUUAUUUAACAAACCUCCAGGCUACAAAAUUAACUUAAAUAUUCUGAUUAUUAGUUUUCGGUUGGGGUGACCACGGAGUAAAACUUAUCCUCCAUGAUGAAUUAGAGCCCGCCUCUAAGCAAAAAACUACAAUUUUAAGCAUCAAAAAAUUGACCCUAUUGACCCAAUAUUUGAUCAACGAACCAAGUUACCCUAGGGAUAACAGCGCAAUCCGUCUCAAGAGCUCAUAUCGACAGAUGGGUUUACGACCUCGAUGUUGGAUCAGGAUAUCCAAGUGGUGCAGCCGCUACUAAAGGUUCGUUUGUUCAACGAUUAAAAUCCU
rnacentral:rRNA from 1 species